UACGUAGGGUCCGAGCGUUGUCCGGAAUUAUUGGGCGUAAAGGGCUCGUAGGCGGUUGGUCACGUCGGGAGUGAAAACUCAGGGCUCAACCCUGAGCGUGCUUCCGAUACGGGCCGACUAGAGGUAUGCAGGGGAGAACGGAAUUCCUGGUGUAGCGGUGGAAUGCGCAGAUAUCAGGAGGAACACCGGUGGCGAAGGCGGUUCUCUGGGCAUUACCUGACGCUGAGGAGCGAAAGCCAGGGGAGCAAACGGG
rnacentral:rRNA from 1 species